rnacentral:rRNA from 1 species
AUUGAACGCUGGCGGCAUGCUUUACACAUGCAAGUCGAACGGUAACAGGUUAAGCUGACGAGUGCGAACGGGUGAGUAAUGCAUCGGAACGUGCCCGAUCGUGGGGGAUAACGCAGCGAAAGCUGCGCUAAUACCGCAUACGAUCUGAGGAUGAAAGCGGGGGACCGUAAGGCCUCGCGCGAUAGGAGCGGCCGAUGUCAGAUUAGGUAGUUGGUGGGGUAAAGGCCCACCAAGCCGACGAUCUGUAGCUGGUCUGAGAGGACGACCAGCCACACUGGGACUGAGGCACGGCCCAGACUCCUACGUGAGGCAGCAGUGGGGAAUUUUGGACAAUGGGCGAAAGCCUGAUCCAGCAAUGCCGCGUGCAGGAAGAAGGCCUUCGGGUUGUAAACUGCUUUUGUACGGAGCUAAAAGGUCCUUUCUAAUACAAGGGGCUCAUGACGGUACCGUAAGAAUAAGCACCGGCUAACUACGUGCCAGCCGCCGCCGUAA